rnacentral:lncRNA from 1 species
AAACCUUGAUUCUCUCCCUUGAAAAACAGGGACGAUGAUAGCACCUCCCUCAGCGGGCUGCUGUGGUGAGGAUUCAGCAAGAUAAUCCACGAGGCUUCCAGGAGAUGAAGGAUGCUCAGUAAAUAUUUGUGAUGAUUAUUCACAGAGAUGAACCUAAAAGCUAAAUGCCACGAGUGACUGGCUGGAUGUUACAAUGUCUGGGGAAUGCUUCGCAGCCUGACCCUUAUUCCAGAAAGUUCUGUGAGUAUCCUCAUGACCUCACUGAACGUCAGCGCCGACUGCUCUUACUUAACAGGGGAGAGCCACAGACUCUGCAGUGCGUGGCAGGCAGGGCCUGUCACUGUCUACUGUUGUCGCUGUGGCUGUAGCAGUGGAGGUGGCCGGGCCUUCUUUCCCACCUCCCCUUCUUCCCCAUGGUCAGCCCCGCUCCCAGGCUCCGUCUGUGCCCCUGCAGCUCCCCAGCGGUGGCCUUUUUGUUCAGUGCUUCCUCGGCGGCUGGGACUCACCCUGAUUUAAAAGCUCCAGACGUGUUCUCGGCAGCCCGGGAGCACAGGAGUCAAAGCAAGACCAGGAGCGGGUUGCUGAGAGGACGCCACGCUGACUGGGGAUCGAGAGGGUGGCUUCCUUCAAACAGAGAAAGGAAAAAGCCCCUUGAACCAAUCUGAAUGUAAAAUCCAAAAGCUAUGGCCACCGCGAGGAAAACAACAGUCAUGAUGCGGGCCAGGAGGCCGUCGCCGUGGGAAUGCAGUCGGCCCUGCGCAUGUGGUGUCUGAGCAGGGCCCGAGACCUUCCAGGGAGGGGAGAAAUACUUUUUGGCUGACUCUCCUGACUCUGUGUUUCCUACAAUUCUACAACAAAGAUCCAGGAACAUGAGAAAAGGAAAAUGAGAAAAUGAGUCCUGUGAUCCAAAUUUAAGCCAAGAACAGGACAGGCAAUGUGAGCCAAAUAGAAAUGAGGCCAAGAGUGCUUUCUUGGGGCCCCAGCUUUUUUUUUUCUUUUUUCGAAUGCCCAAACCUGUUUAACUGCUUAGUGUGAACUCUAGUUCUGGGAUACAGUUCACUAUGGGAAAGGAAAUUUAAUUAGCACUGGCGACCUCACCUUCAUUCUUAGGUCAAUACAGUAAACUGGCAUAUGAAUAGUGAUUUCUACCAAUUGAUUCCUGAAGGAAAAGAGAGAGAAAAGGAGAGAGGAAGACACACACACCUACACACACACACACACACACACACACACACACACACAGAGACAGAGACAGAGAGAGACAAUGAGGCACAGAGAAACAGGCAGAGACAGAGAGACAGAGAGACAGAGAGAGGGGAAGAGAGACAGAGAAACAGAGACAGAAAGAAAGAGACAGACAGAGAAAGAGAGACAGAGAGGCAGAGAGAGACAGAGAAGCAGAGACAGAAAGUCAGACAGAGAAAGAAAGAGAGGAGCAAGUGACAUACUUUAAAAAUUAUUCUUGAGAGAGGUCAACCUGCAUCAGCUGCAGAAAUCAACAAUCACUUGGCAGUGUCAGCUGUAAUACAUUCCCACAUUGCAUUCUGCACGGGCAUUGACUAUCUUGACCCACACUCUCUAUAUCAUGUUCACAGUAACGUAAGUGGUCAGAUUUCUACAAUUAGGCCUUGCAAGAUAAUAAUGACAAGCCGUAUUCGUAUAUUGCUUUACUGUUUGCAAAGCAGUUGCAUAAUUAUCAUUACGUUUGGUUCCUCAUGACUGUGCUGUGAGGAAGGCGUUCCUGUUCCCAUUUUAGAAGUGAGGACACAAAGUUACAAGUGUCCAAGCCAGAACCUGAUGCCAAAUCCCAUGACAUUUCUGCCGUACUGGGCUCUGCCAUGCCCUGGGAGGAUGGCCACCUGCAAACACAACCUUUCUCCUAACAGAGAGAGAAACUGAGACGCAAGCUCGAGUAGCAACUUGAUGGAAUGGCACAGUGGGGACCACUAGCUCUUAGAAUACGUCAAUUUUGAUUGGCUGAAAUUGACAGGAGUAUCUAAGACAAAAGAUACUCCAGAAAAUAAAGGGAUCGGGGAGGGAUGAUGGAGAAGUGACCUUACGGUUAUCAUGAAAAGGGCUGUGUGUCAAGACAGCAUUACACCUAGUGGGAAUUGGAAGGAUUUAGCUGUACUUUAUGUCUCAGAAUGUGCUAAUGUGAUUACCUCAUAUUAGCUAUUAUGUGUGCCCUAUGAAUAAUGUCAUCCCAGUGCUUCUGGAGAAUAGGAGUGGAGCUGCAGGCCCUUCAAAACAAUCCUAGGCAGAGUCUGAGUAAUCCUGCACAUCUGAAUCACCAGCAAAAGACAAGUUUCAAUUUGGAUUCAGAAAAUACAUGAUGCAAACCUUUCUCAGCCCUGGAAGGGAGGGAAGGCAUGGGAAGAAGCAGGAUUGGACUGGAAGGACUGGCUGUCUUUCCUGCGUGCUCUCCCUUUGACCUGCUUGGCACACCCUGCUUCCAAAAUGGCCCAUGUGGUUGACAGUCUGCAGGGAUGUGAAUAGAAACCCAAGACGUCGGGCUCGGUGCAUCUCGAAGCAGGGCCGCAGUCUUAAGCACAAGACAGGCACAUUCCGCUCACAGCAUUUCUUUCUAGUCUGAGCAAAAUCUUCCCACAAGGCCAAAAUCCCAACGGCUGGACAUGAACAGGGCGUAUAUGUUUUUCCCCUUCCAAGCUCUUUUGUUGCAUUUUAUUGUUUUUCCUACCUAGAUAUUAGGCUGUCUCCUUGAUGCGAAACAUCCUUCCUUUCUAGAAUUUCCAGGAAGCACAAUUGCCUCCCACAUUUAGAUUUAAUGUAAUUCAAACCAAAGUUUGAGGCUAUUUCUCCUAAUUCAGGAAAAGCUGUGAGCUUGGCAACCC